GCAUUCUUAGUUCGGUUUGGUAGAAUGAUGGUCUUCAAACCCGAUGUCGUAGGUUCAAAUCCUACAGGGAUAA